rnacentral:rRNA from 1 species
UACAGAGGUCUCAAGCGUUGUUCGGAUUCAUUGGGCGUAAAGGGUGCGUAGGUGGCGCGAUAAGUCGGGUGUGAAAUCUCGGAGCUUAACUCCGAAAUUGCAUUCGAUACUGCCGUGCUCGAGGACUGGAGAGGAGACUGGAAUUCUCGGUGUAGCGGUGAAAUGCGUAGAUAUCGAGAGGAACACCUGCGGCGAAGGCGGGUAGCUGGGCCGACACUGACGCUGAGGCGCGAAAGCCAGGGGAGCGAACGGG